UGUGAGGUAGUUUAUAUAUAGAACAUUAAACUGUAAAUUUAAUAGAAAGUUUUCUCUUCCUUAUAA
rnacentral:tRNA from 1 species